GCUGGAUUCGCUAGUAAUCGCGCAUCAGCCACGGCGCGGUGAAUACGUUCCCGGGCCUUGUACACACCGCCCGUCAAGCCAUGGAAGCCGGGGGUGCCUGAAGUGCGCUGCCGCAAGGAGCGCCCUAGGGUAAAACCGGUGACUGGGGCUAAGUCGUAACAAGGUAAC
rnacentral:rRNA from 1 species